rnacentral:rRNA from 1 species
UACGUAGGGUCCGAGCGUUGUCCGGAAUUACUGGGCGUAAAGAGCGCGUAGGUGGUUUGUCGCGUUGUUCGUGAAAACUCACAGCUUAACUGUGGGCGUGCGGGCGAUACGGGCAGACUUGAGUACUGCAGGGGAGACUGGAAUUCCUGGUGUAGCGGUGGAAUGCGCAGAUAUCAGGAGGAACACCGGUGGCGAAGGCGGGUCUCUGGGCAGUAACUGACGCUGAGGAGCGAAAGCGUGGGGAGCGAACAGG